rnacentral:rRNA from 1 species
GGGUAGCGUAACACGUGAGCAACCUACCUAGGUGUGGGGGAGUAGCCGGCCCAACGGCCGGGUAAUACCGCAUACGCUCUUCUUUAGGCAUUUAGAGGAGAGGAAACCUUCGGGGCACCAUGAGGGGCUCGCGGCCUAUCAGCUAGUUGGCGAGGUAAUGGCUCACCAAGGCUACGACGGGUAGCUGGUCUGAGAGGAUGGCCAGCCACAUUGGGACUGAGAAACGGCCCAG